UCCCGAGCAAAAGCACCCAUCAGGUGCUGGGAUAAAGCCCGGAGCAGGAGGAGACUGCAGGAGAAGCCAGAUCAUCCGAGUCACCGGGUGCUGAGCCAGCGCCUCCUGGGGUCAAUCGAGACUCAAGACUUGGAACACUACUCGUGCAGAAGCCAGCAAGGUCUCCUUGGAGAGCGGUGAGUUCACCAGGGCUGCCCUGGGCAGAGUGAGCUGGUGCUGAGAGAACUGCAACUGUGACAGCCUAGGGGCCAGACGCUGGACACGUGGCUGUGAUGAAUGGCAUAGAUGAGAGGUAACAGCCUGGGGCUGGGGCAGGGAGUGCGGACGGGGUGGCUGCCAAAGGGAGAGAACCCAAAGGGAGG
rnacentral:lncRNA from 1 species